GAUGAACGCUGGCGGCGUGCCUAAUACAUGCAAGUCGAGCGAACGGACGAGAAGCUUGCUUCUCUGAUGUUAGCGGCGGACGGGUGAGUAACACGUGGAUAACCUACCUAUAAGACUGGGAUAACUUCGGGAAACCGGAGCUAAUACCGGAUAAUAUUUUGAACCGCAUGGUUCAAAAGUGAAAGACGGUCUUGCUGUCACUUAUAGAUGGAUCCGCGCUGCAUUAGCUAGUUGGUAAGGUAACGGCUUACCAAGGCAACGAUGCAUAGCCGACCUGAGAGGGUGAUCGGCCACACUGGAACUGAGACACGGUCCAGACUCCUACGGGAGGCAGCAGUAGGGAAUCUUCCGCAAUGGGCGAAAGCCUGACGGAGCAACGCCGCGUGAGUGAUGAAGGUCUUCGGAUCGUAAAACUCUGUUAUUAGGGAAGAACAUAUGUGUAAGUAACUGUGCACAUCUUGACGGUACCUAAUCAGAAAGCCACGGCUAACUACGUGCCAGCAGCCGCGGUAAUACGUAGGUGGCAAGCGUUAUCCGGAAUUAUUGGGCGUAAAGCGCGCGUAGGCGGUUUUUUAAGUCUGAUGUGAAAGCCCACGGCUCAACCGUGGAGGGUCAUUGGAAACUGGAAAACUUGAGUGCAGAAGAGGAAAGUGGAAUUCCAUGUGUAGCGGUGAAAUGCGCAGAGAUAUGGAGGAACACCAGUGGCGAAGGCGACUUUCUGGUCUGUAACUGACGCUGAUGUGCGAAAGCGUGGGGAUCAAACAGGAUUAGAUACCCUGGUAGUCCACGCCGUAAACGAUGAGUGCUAAGUGUUAGGGGGUUUCCGCCCUUUAGUGCUGCAGCUAACGCAUUAAGCACUCCGCCUGGGGAGUACGACCGCAAGGUUGAAACUCAAAGGAAUUGACGGGGACCCGCACAAGCGGUGGAGCAUGUGGUUUAAUUCGAAGCAACGCGAAGAACCUUACCAAAUCUUGACAUCCUCUGACCCCUCUAGAGAUAGAGUUUUCCCCUUCGGGGGACAGAGUGACAGGUGGUGCAUGGUUGUCGUCAGCUCGUGUCGUGAGAUGUUGGGUUAAGUCCCGCAACGAGCGCAACCCUUAAGCUUAGUUGCCAUCAUUAAGUUGGGCACUCUAAGUUGACUGCCGGUGACAAACCGGAGGAAGGUGGGGAUGACGUCAAAUCAUCAUGCCCCUUAUGAUUUGGGCUACACACGUGCUACAAUGGACAAUACAAAGGGCAGCGAAACCGCGAGGUCAAGCAAAUCCCAUAAAGUUGUUCUCAGUUCGGAUUGUAGUCUGCAACUCGACUAUAUGAAGCUGGAAUCGCUAGUAAUCGUAGAUCAGCAUGCUACGGUGAAUACGUUCCCGGGUCU
rnacentral:rRNA from 1 species